CUACACUAUCUGAACUGACUAAAGUUACAUCUUUCCUAGGCAAAUUGUGUUUAAGGUGGAAGGCUACAUCGUCACAACAUGUCUGACUUCCGUUCGAAACGCCAUUGUGUUCCGGAUUGAUAACAUUAUGUCGUGGUACAAAAUAGCUAUGCACCGUUUAAUUGAACUCUUCUAACUAAGGAGGUGAGAUAGGAAUGAAAUCACCAAAAUGCUUAGAAAAUAUGUCAAUUUUCUUCCUGUUUAAAGCUUUUAACUAACAUUGAUUAUCAGCUGUUUUGUACGGAAAACGUGGAAUCUAAAUAAUAUACCGUUUCCCUGCUCUGCUGCUAUUGGCAAUACAUUUUUGUCAUGUCAUCUGCAACAGACGAUCAUACAUAUGUGGCGGAUUAUCGAUAUAGGUUUUUGUGGGAUUUUGUCCAGCAGUUUGCCUUAAAAGAAUUUUUUUAUAUUUUAGUUUCAUAUUUAUGUGGAUUCCAAUAAAAACCAUACAAACUUCA